GUGCCUGUAGUUCAGUGGUAGAGCGCCAGAUUGUGGAUCUGGUUGUCGUGGGUUCAAUCCCCACCAGGCACC
rfam:Treponema porcinum strain ATCC BAA-908 genome assembly, contig: EI69DRAFT_scaffold00006.6